GGCAAGGUGGCCGAGCGGUCCAAGGCGCCACGUUAAGGUGUUUGCAAACCCUUAAUCCCUAUUCUCCAAGCCGAGAAUUCCGUGGUCUCGAAAGGGGCGUGAGUUCGAAUCUCACCCUUGUCA
rfam:Thielavia terrestris NRRL 8126 chromosome 1, complete sequence.